CUCUCUCCCCGAGCGGCCGCCAGGAUGUGCCCCCGGCCCCGUCGUCGCCGCGCCCGCGCCCCUCGCCCCAGUACGUCUUUUUUCGUUUCCUAAAUUUCUUAUUUUUGUCCUUGCAAGUGGUCCUGUCUGGUGUGAACCGUCAGCACAGAUGGCCUCCUGGAGCUUCCCCGAGUCGUUCGCUGGGGGAAGCGGGCGGUGAGCGGCCAGCCCGGGCGCUCCGCAGGCCGCGAGCUCCCGGCAGGGCUGGUGGCGGGGGUCCGCCUGGGGGAGGAAUCCCCGCCUGCUCCAUCGGACCCGGCCUGGCGCGGCUCGCGGCGCUCGGCGGGCUCCCUUCCAUUCUAGAAUCUUCCCGCUUGCUUCCCAGCCCGCGUUCUUCCGCCUGCCUUUAAUUGUAAUUUACAGGAUUAAGGAGUUUGGGGAAGUCGCAGAGCUGCAGCGGAAAGGCAGGGGUCUGAGACUACUUUUGAGAAGAGAAACAACGCAAAACGAUCGCUGGAGGGCCAGAGCCCUGGUCGAAGAAGCAGACACAGGUUCCCACGGCGUCUGACGCCUGCGGAGCAAGUCCAGAGCCAGCUGGACUCGCAGCCUCUGGC
rnacentral:lncRNA from 1 species